GGAGGAGUGGCCGAGUGGUUUAAGGCAGCGGUCUUGAAAACCGCAGAUGAGUAAUACUUAUCCGAGAGUUCGAAUCCCUCCUCCUCCA
rnacentral:tRNA from 1 species